GAUGAACGCUGGCGGCGUGCCUAAUACAUGCAAGUCGAGCGAACAGACGAGGAGCUUGCUCCUCUGACGUUAGCGGCGGACGGGUGAGUAACACGUGGAUAACCUACCUAUAAGACUGGGAUAACUUCGGGAAACCGGAGCUAAUACCGGAUAACAUGUUGAACCGCAUGGUUCAACAGUGAAAGACGGUCUUGCUGUCACUUAUAGAUGGAUCCGCGCCGCAUUAGCUAGUUGGUAAGGUAAUGGCUUACCAAGGCAACGAUGCGUAGCCGACCUGAGAGGCUGGUCGGCCACACUGGAAGGGAGACACGGUCCAGACUCCUACGGGAGGGAGCAGUAGGGAAUCUUACGCAAUGGGCGAAAGCCUGACGGAGCAACGCGGCGUGAGUGAAGAAGGUCUUCGGAGCGUAAAACUCUGUUAUGAGGGAAGAACAAAUGUGUAAGUUACUAUGCACGUAUUGACGGUACCUAAUCAGAAAGCCACGGCUAACUACGUG
rnacentral:rRNA from 1 species